UAACCCUGGAAUGCUGAACCAUAUUUUCGCCGCACCACCCGUCGCCUAACACACACAUCUAUGCUGAACCAUCGUUUAACCCUCACGCGUUCACCCUAAAUCAAAUUUUCACCUCUUCUCCACCGCAACACCGCUUUUCACACGUCUGUUCUCCUCUUCUCCACCCAAACUGACACAUUCACGUUUCCCUUCGUGUUCACAGAGAUAACGACCUCAACCUCCGCUGUCUCAAAUGAUGUCGUUUUCAAAUAUCUGAUCUCUCUUCCUCGUCCUUUGUCUUCGAAUCAGUCAUCUAGUCUUGUUUUCGAUGUCUCACGACUUCAUGUUGCAUAUCAGGUUGAUGAUAGUCGUGCAAUUUUAGCUGCUCGGAUUGGGAAUCAUCCUCAACUCACCAUGGAUCAUAGCACUCAUGUGAAAAGUAGGUUUUUGCGACAUGUUGAAAUUGAGUAAUUACUCAAUUUGAUUCUCAACAAUGUAGAAUCGUAUCAACUCAGUUCUCUACAUUAGAUUUUGAAUUUUGAACUUCGAGCAAAGGACAUGCUGCAACAUAUCUGCAUAGGUCCAAUUUCCAAUGAAUCAUUUGUUCGAAUGAGCAUAUCAGUUAAGUUAAAACAGGACAUUGAGGAUUCGAAUUAGUUCUUGAUUUGGUUUGUGUUGCAUUGGGGAACAAAUUCACUCUGAUUUCAUUCAGAAGAGCAUGAAUGCUAGAAGUGUGAGGCAGAACCAUAUAUUUUGUUAGGAUCAAAGAGGAGGUGAGAGUAAGGCUAUGCCAUUGUUGUACUUUCCACAAGAUCAAGGUGGAGGUAAAACACUUUUGAAGUUCAAGCAAGGAAUUAUGAGUGACCCUUUUGAUGCUUUGUCAAAUUGGGUUGAUGAUGAAUUUGGUGUUGACCCUUGUAAUUGGUUUGGAGUUGAAUGUUCAUAAGGAAGAGUUGGGUUAUUGGUUGUUGAUCUGGAGGAAGAAUAAUACAAUGGAGACAUUAAGAAAAGGAAAACACGUGUCACUGUUAAAGUAAAUGAGUGUCAUUGUUCAGGUCUCUUAACUAUUACCAAAUAGGUUCUUUGAUUUUGUGCUUAUAAGUAAAAGUGAAUGAUACUUCCACAUUUGUGUAUUGUUAAGAACGUGUUAUAUGUGGUUAUUGUUUGAGAUUCUUAACCAAUUUUGGGAUCCAUAUAAAUUGGUUGAUAAUGCUUGUAAUUGGAAUUGAGUAGCCAUACUUUGUAUGAUACAUUGUUUGAAUGUCUUAUCGUGUUUAGAAACAUAUGUGAUGCUUUUGACUUUA